UAUUAUAUUUAGUGAAAUUAGCUGUACAGAAUCAUUUGAGAUUGUAAUGAAAUGAACUGAUUGCAAAAGAAAUGCAAUGGCAUAAAUAUAUAUAUAAAUGUCACAUAAUCCUUAAGCAGUAAUGCAGUAUAAGCAUGUGUUUGAUCUUUGUUCUCUUUUUGUUUGUUCAACAGGUGCUAGUGGUUUACAAGGUAAUCAACUCUUUCUUUACAAAAAAUAUUUUAGCGCAAUUGUGUUAUUUUUGUGUUAUAAAAUAAUGACAUUAACAAAAAAUUAUUAUUAUUAUUAUUUUUUUAAAUCUGUGCAGGUGAACAAGGCCCUCAAGGCUUUAGAGGUGAACCUGGCCCUGCCGGGCCAAAAGGUGUGUAUCACAAUGAAGACUUGGUAUGUUUUCAAAAAGCAUUAUAAGAACAAAAUCCUAAUGUUUAUCGUUUUAAAAACAUUUCUUUCCAGGUGAAAGAGGUCUCUCUGGUCCACCUGGAAUUAAAGGUUUGUAACCAAUAAUAUGUCAGCCUGAAAUACGUAAAGUAAUACAGUAUCCAGUCGUUAGUAUAGUCAGUGUGAAUUCAUGUAAAAUUAUGUGUGUUGUAUCAGGUGAUCAUGGUGAAAGAGGAGAAAAUGGAUUGCCAGGUGUUCCUGGUGCUGCAGGACGACAAGGGCCAUCUGGUGAGAAAGGAGCUAAAGGAUCAGCAGGUGAUUCAUCUGUAGGAACAGACACAAACCCGAGAUUUUUGGCUUUUUGCCAUUUUAUUGUUAGAAUAGGGAGAGAACAGACAUGUGAUAGGCCGAAGAGUGUGGAGGGGGAUCGCCAAAUUCAAAACUCAAAUCUGAGUCCAAUUUGGGUUUCCUGUAUACUGUAUAUAAGAAUUAUAUGCAUACAGUUCGACAUCAGACAGAGCUAUAUUUUUAACCGUGACGUGUUGGCCAUCAACACCAAAAAAAAUCCGUUUCAAAUAAAUGUUGUCAUUUGAACUUUCAAUUCAUCAAAGAAUCCUGAAAAAAAAAUGUAUCACAGUUUGCACAAAAAUAAUAAACAGCAUGAUUGUUUUCAACACUGAUAAUAAUAAGAAAUGUUUCUUGACCACCAAAUCAGCAUAUCAGAACGACUAAGGGACACUGAAGACUGCAUAAUGGCUCCUGAAAAUUUUCUUUUCAAUAAAUGAAUAAAUUAAUAAAUGACCUGUUAAAAUUGAAUGACACAUAAUAUAGCUUUUUUUAAAUCGUAAUAAUUUUUCACAAUAUUUUUGUAUUUAUAUUUUGAUGAUGCAGUCUUGGUGAGCAUAAGAUACUUCUUUCUAAAUCAUUAAAAAAUCUUACCGACCCCAAACAAGUAGAUCUUAAUACAGUAGAUGGAUAAUGGCCAGAAAUUGUUUGUGCUUUUCAUUUGUUAGCUAAAGCAAUUUUUCUUGAAAUAAUAUCACUAAAUAAUAUGACUAUAUUGUAUUUUCCAAGACUGCAUUGCUUAGUUGCUUAAUUUGGAUGUGGGUGCAUGGAAUCUAUUAAAGUUCUGUUAUUAUCAGGACUUGUUUAAUGCCAAUAUUGUAUUGGUAUAAAAAGAAGUCCCCUCUGAGUAAUAUGUCAUUUCAUUCUAGGGCCUCAAGGACCUGAUGGUGAAAAGGGCCAAAGAGGUGAGUGGCAUUUUAAGAUUUGAUUAUUCCAAACCAUUUUUUUUAAAUUUUGUUUUACCUAUAUCUGCAUCUUUGUUUUAAUCUUUGUCUGUAUUCUGUGUCAUUGUUGUUCAUAUCUAGGUGAGCCAGGCUCAAUUGGUUUACCAGGAAUUAGAGGACCACCAGGGCCAUCUGGCGAUCCUGGGCAACCAGGUAUAAAAGCAUGUAGAAAAACAUGUUCCUCAUUUUGAGAAAAUGAUCUCAAACUGCAUGUUAUAGCAUUGUUCCUAUAAUUUUUUUUUCUGCUGUCUACUUUAAAUCAGGAACUCCAGGGAUUCAAGGACCUCCAGGU
rnacentral:lncRNA from 1 species